rnacentral:rRNA from 2 species
UAUGGCUCAGAUUGAACGCUGGCGGCAGGCCUAACACAUGCAAGUCGAGCGGUAACACAGGAGAGCUUGCUCUCUGGGUGACGAGCGGCGGACGGGUGAGUAAUGUCUGGGAAACUGCCCGAUGGAGGGGGAUAACUACUGGAAACGGUAGCUAAUACCGCAUAACGUCUUCGGACCAAAGAGGGGGACCUUCGGGCCUCUUGCCAUCGGAUGUGCCCAGAUGGGAUUAGCUAGUAGGUGGGGUAAUGGCUCACCUAGGCGACGAUCCCUAGCUGGUCUGAGAGGAUGACCAGCCACACUGGAACUGAGACACGGUCCAGACUCCUACGGGAGGCAGCAGUGGGGAAUAUUGCACAAUGGGCGCAAGCCUGAUGCAGCCAUGCCGCGUGUAUGAAGAAGGCCUUCGGGUUGUAAAGUACUUUCAGCGAGGAGGAAGGCGUUGCGGUUAAUAACCGCAGCGAUUGACGUUACUCGCAGAAGAAGCACCGGCUAACUCCGUGCCAGCAGCCGCGGUAAUACGGAGGGUGCAAGCGUUAAUCGGAAUUACUGGGCGUAAAGCGCACGCAGGCGGUCUGUCAAGUCGGAUGUGAAAUCCCCGGGCUCAACCUGGGAACUGCAUUCGAAACUGGCAGGCUAGAGUCUUGUAGAGGGGGGUAGAAUUCCAGGUGUAGCGGUGAAAUGCGUAGAGAUCUGGAGGAAUACCGGUGGCGAAGGCGGCCCCCUGGACAAAGACUGACG